rnacentral:rRNA from 1 species
UUGAACGCUGGCGGCAGGCCUAACCCAUGCCAGUCGAGCGGAUGAGUGGAGCUUGCUCCAUGAUUCAGCGGCGGACGGGUGAGUAAUGCCUAGGAAUCUGCCUGGUAGUGGGGGACAACGUUUCGAAAGGAACGCUAAUACCGCAUACGUCCUACGGGAGAAAGUGGGGGAUCUUCGGACCUCACGCUAUCAGAUGAGCCUAGGUCGGAUUAGCUAGUUGGUGAGGUAAAGGCUCACCAAGGCGACGAUCCGUAACCGGUCUGAGAGGAUGAUCAGUCACACUGGAACUGAGACACGGUCCCGACUCCUACGGGAGGGAGCAGUGGGGAAUCUUUGGCAAUGGGGGGAAGCCUGAACCAGCCCAGGCGCGUGGGUGAAAAAAGUCUUCGGGUUGUAAAAGCCUUUUAGGUUGGGAGAAGGGGUGUGAAAUUAACUCCUUGCGUUUUGACGGUACCCAAUAAAAAAGCCACGGCUAACUUCGUG